GGUUCGAUCAUGGCUCAGAUUGAACGCUGGCGGGAUACUUUACACAUGCAAGUCGAACGGCAGCACGGACUUCGGUCUGGUGGCGAGUGGCGAACGGGUGAGUAAUGUAUCGGAACGUGCCUAGUAGCGGGGGAUAACUACGCGAAAGCGUAACUUCAAUGCCGCAUACGCCCUUCGGGGGAAAGCGGAGACCUUCCGGGCGAUCGCACCUGCUGAACGUACAGAUAUCAGGGUCAAAAGCUAGUUGGUGGACAACGGCCUCACCAGAAGAGAUCCGACGCCAGGCACGAAAGAGAACCGUCACACCGUUGGUACGGCCCGGAGCUCUGGAGCAGAGAAUUUUGGACAAUGGAAACCCCAGACCAGCCAUCCGCGGCAUGCGAUAAAGGCACCCAGGUGCACAGCUUUGGCAGGAAAGAAGCGGCACGGGAUGGCAUACCGUGUGACAAUGAUGCUUCUGAAGAAGAUAACGCCGGCUAACUACGUGCCAGCAGCCGCGGUAAUACGUAGGGUGCAAGCGUUAAUCGGAAUUACUGGGCGUAAAGCGUGCGCAGCGGUUCGGAAAGAAAGAUGUGAAAUCUCAGAGCUUAACUUUGGAACUGCAUUUUUAACUACUCGACUAGAAAUUGUGUCCAGAGGAGGUGGAAUUCCGCGUGUAGCAGUGAAAUGCGUAGAUAUGCGGAGGAACACCGAUGGCGAAGGCAGCCUCUGAGAUAACGCAGCGCUCAUGCACGAAAACGUGGGGGGCAAACAGGAUUAGAUACCCUGGUAGUCCACGCCCUAAACGAUGUCAACUAGCUGUUGGGACGCUUCGGGCCUUGGUAGCGCAGCUAACGCGUGAAGUUGACCGCCUGGGAAAUGCAGGGUCGCAAGAUUAAAACUCAAAGGAAUUGACGGGGACCCGCACAAGCGGUGGAUGAUGUGGAUUAAUUCGAUGCAACGCGAAAACCUUACCUACCCUUGACGUAUCUGGAAUCCCGAAGAGAUUUGGGAAUUGCUCGCAAGAGAACCGGAACACAGGUGCUGCAUGGCUGUCGUCAGCUCGUGUCGUGAGAUGUUGGGUUAAGUCCCACCAACGAGCGCAACCUUGUCAUUAGUUGCUACGAAAGGGCACUCUAUUAGGACUGCCGGUGACAAACCGGAGGAAGGUGGGGAUGACGUCAAGUCCUCAUGGCCCUUAUGGGUAGGGCUUCACACGUCAUACAAUGGUCGGGACAGAGGGUCGCCAACCCGCGAGGAGCCAAUCCCAGAAACCGAUCGUAGUCCGGAUCGCAGUCUGCAACUCGACUGCGUGAAGUCGGAAUCGCUGGCAAUCGCGGAUCAGCAUGUCGCGGUGAAUACGUUCCCGGGUCUGUACACACCGCCCGUCACACCAUGGGAGUGGGUUUUACCAGAAGUAAUUUAGCCUAACCGUAAGGAGGGCGAUUACCACGGUAGGAUUCAUGACUGAGGUGAAGUCGUAGCUGGUAGCCCUGUUACU
rnacentral:rRNA from 1 species